rnacentral:lncRNA from 1 species
CUAAAUCAAUGUAAAUAGUGGAGUAGGGUGGUGUUAUUAUGAUGAAAUUGUGAGUGUAGUGUUAAAAAUAGAAUGUAGGGUAUUUGUUUAUUUAUAACUUUUUUAAGCAAAGUAUAAGGGAGGUGGCAGUAGGUGGCGGUAAUGCAACAUUUAUUGGAUGCCGACUGCCGUUAAACCUCAUCGAAGAAGACGGAAAGGAAGAGGAAAAGAGAGGAUCAACUCGGCGGCAAAUCUGUCUCCCCCAGCAGGUCGCGGUUUUUUUUCGUUGUUUCGCCCACCAAGCAAGUCGUUUUGUAUCCAUGACUCUGAGCAUGUCUCCGGCUGCGGUGUGCCAGUGCUUUACGCUGGUGUCACUGUGCACAUCCAUCGCCGACCCAAACUGGAUCCAAGUCAUCAACAACACUGACCCCGGAGGCAAACAGCUCAUCUAUGGUGUGGCUUUCAUACUGCAUGCGCCCCAGAACCUCACUGACACAGGUCCCCUGGGUGGCAUAAAUGGCUGGGGGGUGUGGCUGCUCUAUGCCCUGGCGGCUCUGUGCUACAGUGCUGUCCUGCUCUCCAGCUCCUCCUUCCUAUUGGACUUCCUGGGGACUGGGAUGUCCCACCCUCGACUGGUGGUGUUACUCCACAUCUCCACAGUGGUUCUCCUCCUGUCUGUUCUGGGAGUUUGUGGGGCCUGCCUGUACAUCAUCCACUGCAACCUUCAGGAGGGCAAGUUUGGGCCACUGUGGGAAUGGGUAGGGGGCUGGACCUGGCCUGGGUCUGGCUCCAGGAGCCAGGGAGGGGCGGCGGGGAUGAAGCCUUACCCAGGGGAGAGCUUCUACAUCACCAUGCUGGGCCUGCUCUUCUCCUGCCUGGCCGGUGUGAGCAGCCUGGGGGACCCCACCUCCACCCAGAGGGACUACACAGCUGUGGUGGAGUGGGACGACAGUGACACAGAGCCCCUUACCCCCAGGGAGCAGGGAGUGGGACAGUCUGAUGAAGAGGAGGGGGUAGGAGACGUGUUGCCUGAACUGACUCAGGGGGAGGUGGGUGGAAGUGGAGACUGCUAAAGGGGUUUGAAUGUGUGGCCCAAAAGGCUUAGUUUCGGACUAGAAUGCAAACCACACCACACAUGGCCUGUAACAGACUUAAUUAGACAGCAGUGCUGGCGCCUUCCCUGGUCAUGUUUUGAAUUCCUAAAGCUUCACUGGACCAAGCUGGUGGAAUCCAGUCAGGAGCCAAAAAAGAGACCAGAUACGUUUCCUAAUGUUGUUUUAAUGUUUGUCUGCCUAAAACAUGCCUUCUCGGGGUAUGUACAGUUGCACAACAUCAAGUCAAUAACCCAUUUAUGGGUUUAAAAAAAAAAAUCCCUUGUGGGAGUUUAUGCCCAGCGUCUCACACUUGACUCCACCAAUAUAAAUCGUUCUUUGGCUAGCUGUGAUAUUUGGAAAAGUGUGACAAGAAUGUAACGCGGUUAAGCUAUUUCUGUCUGUGUGUGACCAGGGAAAGUGAGAGUCUGUAUGUUAUAAUCGAUGUGUGACACAAAUUAUAUGCCCUUCCUGCUCAUCAAUGGGAACAAGCUUUGACCCUGUUCACAUUACUGCAAAAUAACCACUGGGGAAUGUUCCGGAUCAGCGAAUGGUUUGUUACCAUCAGAACCAGAAAAUAUGUUCAAUGAACAGAAGUUCAGACUGCUCAACAUUGCGAUCCUAACAUAGCUCAUGUUUGUACAAUCACCUAGUCUCCUCUUCUAGUUAACAUAAAAAUCCCUAGAUUAAGGUUUUUCUGAUUCUUUUAACAGGUUGUUUUUUAACCUAUGCAUUAUUUUAACUUCUUAAACCCUUUGCACAGUCUUCCAUAGUGACACUUUAAGUUUCCCAAAUGGUGGAAACAAAUCACAGAUUUCUAUGGAAGAUUUACCUGAAGUGUACUGAAACUGGAGUUUCCUUUGAGAAAUUCAAUUUAAAAAGCCCAUUUUGGCUUCUAUUAUGGCCGCUAUAGCUUUAAUCACAAAUUGAGGAACUAUAUAUUAGCAUGGUUGUUUACUACAAUAGGAAAGAUUGAGUGGGGAUAGGAAGUCUUUCCUUUCCACAGUAGGUAGUGUAAAUACAUGGUUCUUGCUUUAAAUGACUUGCUAUCUAAUCAUAUUUGAAUAUGACGUAUUAAAUAUUUGAUGUACUUAAAUAUUUGUUUCAUAAAAUGACACUGCUAUUGGUCACUAGAUACUUCAGAUCACUGUGAAAAUAUAUCCCGGUUUGGCAUCUUUAGACGUCUACAUUACAGCACAAACCACUGUAUGUAUGCUUAUCCUACUUGAAGGUAACCAAUAAGACAAGCUACUUGAUGGUGCUUGGUUGCAUGUGAUGGUAGGACCAUGGAUAUUGACUUGAUAAAUUAAGAUGGCUGCCUAGAAUCAGGUUUUCCUUACCCGCUUAUACCCUCAAGGCCUGUUUCCUGGACAUAGAUUAAUCUUUGUCCUGGACUAGGAAACAUUUUCAAUGGAGAUUAUGUUUUUAGUUCAAGACUAGGCUUAAUAUGUGUCCGGGAAACCGUCAAUCUUUUCCUCAGGUACAUAGGAAGACAUUCCUUCUCUUAUUCCAGGGUCACAGUCCCAUCUCUAUGAAUCAGACUUCUCAUUGUUGUUGUUUAUGAUGCUAUUUAUUCAUUAAACUAUUUUUGCGUAUUUGUAAAACAUGUGUACAUGCAUUUUCUUUCUGUUCCAGAACAGAAGUGUCCAGUCCAGUUACUCUCAUUCCCACUCAUCUGCUGUAUGUGUUGGUGUCCGUCAUCUCUGCCUCCUAUAGGUUAAUUUCCAACCAACAUCAUCAGGAAAUGGUCUUCAUCCAAAACCACAAGAUGACCACACAUGACCAGAACUGUCCCACAUCUUUCCCGAAGUCUUUCUGAAUGCAUAGGUAGGUUUUAGGGUUAGCCAGGCAGGACUCGCUGUGAACAUGAUGUCCCCUCUGUCAGCAAGCAAUGACUUCAGCAGACAAACCACUCCUUGCUUCCUCUACUGUCACGACUCCACUCCCGUCUCCCAUUGGAUGAAAACCAUUGCCAUAAGAUGGAGUCAAUUUAGCCGAGCAGCUCACAGGAAGGACAGGAAGAGGAGAGGAGUUGUCUGGUUGUUGUUUUGACCUCCCUCAUUAUACCUUUCCUUUCACACACGUCUGUUCUGUUUAAAUUCAGUCAAUUCAUAAAGUCAUUUGUUUCUAAAGUCUUAGGAUAGCAUUCAUUAUUAGUGUUACAUAGAUUUCUGAAUUGACAGAAUUGAAACUCAUACACCGGAGAAUUCAGAUGCUCUUGUUGGUCUCUUACAAGACUAAAGGUCAAUAUAUUUCUUUCAUUUAAAACCACUUGAAAACCAGGGUGUUGAAACUGUUUGUGAAGUUAGAUUCCAUCGACUGGUCCAUGACGUCCAAGGGCCAUUUGUUUGUUUAGCUGUGUUAUGGCUACACAUUAUUUAUUUAUUUUCAGAGACAGAGACACACACACACCUCUCCUCCACUCCUCUCUGUACCUCAGAUCUCCAGUGUCCUGCCCUUUCUCUCUUUAUGGCCAUGUCUGCAGUUCCCCUACUACGUCUAGGCUUUAUGAGUAGUCCCUGUAUCUGUCUGAAGUUCCCCUACUACGUCUAGGCUUUAUGAGUAGUCCCUGUAUCUGUCUGCAGUUCCCCUACUACGUCUAGGCUUUAUGAGUAGUCCCUGUAUCUGUCUGCAGUUCCUCUACUACGUCUAGGCUUUAUGAGUAGUCCCUGUAUCUGUCUGCAGUUCCCCUACUACGUCUAGGCUUUAUGAGUAGUCCCUGUAUCUGUCUGCAGUUCCCCUACUAUGUCUAGGCUUUAUGAGUAGUCCCUGUAUCUGUCUGAAGUUCCCCUACUACGUCUAGGCUUUAUGAGUAGUCCCUGUAUCUGUCUGAAGUUCCCCUACUACGUCUAGGCUUUAUGAGUAGUCCCUGUAUCUCUCUGCAGUUCCCCUAUUACGUCUAGGCUUUAUGAGUAGUCCCUGUAUCUCUCUGCAGUUCCCCUACUACGUCUAGGCUUUAUCAGUAGUCCCUGUAUCUCUCUGCAGUUGUGCCAAAAAUACAUGCUCUUGUUGUUCUCUUCCAGAUUACACAUUCAUUUUUUAAAUUUUUUACACGCACACCUCUUUCAAUAGUUUUACGUUUUUAAACAUUUUUACAACACAAAUACCUGUCAUGUUCUUUCCUGUACUUGAU